UCGGGUGCCGGGCGGCCGUGCCGCGUACGGUACGCGCGGUGUAUUUUUGGGGUUGGAUUCGUGUUGAUUUCUGGGGGCUUCCAGGUGCGGCCGCUCCCCGAGAAGCGAGACCGUGCUGAGGACGUGGUUGUCUGUCCUUCCCCCGGGGAUGCCGUUGACUGCGGCCGUCUCAGGCUUGCGUGGCUUCUCUCUGCCCGGCGUUGCCAUCCUCGCAGCGCGGGGGUGAAAAGGGACACACAGAGCCCUUCCCGGCUGUGGACAGGAGCUGCCUCGGCUGAAGCUGGAGACGCCAACGAAAGGUGCAGGACGGCCUAGAGUCUGGAGCUGCAGAAGAGGCAGGGCGGAGAGGAGGGGAAAGAAGCAUCUGAACGGCUAAAUUGUGCCAGCAGCGCUGAGAGCGAGAGUCGCGAGACCGUGCUGAGGACGUGGUUGUCUGUCCUUCCCCCGGGGAUGCCGUUGACUGCGGCCGUCUCAGGCUUGCGUGGCUUCUCUCUGCCCGGCGUUGCCAUCCUCGCAGCGCGGGGGCGAAAAGGGACACACAGAGCCCUUCCCGGCUGUGGACAGGAGCUGCCUCGGCUGAAGCUGGAGACGCCAACG